GCAGUCGAGCGGAAGGCCCUUCGGGGUACUCGAGCGGCGAACGGGUGAGUAACACGUGAGCAACCUGCCCUAGGCUUUGGGAUAACCCCGGGAAACCGGGGCUAAUACCGAAUAUGACCUGCGGUCGCAUGACUGUUGGUGGAAAGUUUUUCGGCCUGGGAUGGGCUCGCGGCCUAUCAGCUUGUUGGUGGGGUGAUGGCCUACCAAGGCGACGACGGGUAGCCGGCCUGAGAGGGCGACCGGCCACACUGGGACUGAGACACGGCCCAGACUCCUACGGGAGGCAGCAGUGGGGAAUAUUGCACAAUGGGCGGAAGCCUGAUGCAGCGACGCCGCGUGAGGGAUGACGGCCUUCGGGUUGUAAACCUCUUUCAGCAGGGACGAAGCGUAAGUGACGGUACCUGCAGAAGAAGCGCCGGCCAACUACGUGCCAGCAGCCGCGGUAAGACGUAGGGCGCGAGCGUUGUCCGGAUUUAUUGGGCGUAAAGAGCUCGUAGGCGGCUUGUCGCGUCGACUGUGAAAACCCGCAGCUCAACUGCGGGCCUGCAGUCGAUACGGGCAGGCUAGAGUUCGGUAGGGGAGACUGGAAUUCCUGGUGUAGCGGUGAAAUGCGCAGAUAUCAGGAGGAACACCGGUGGCGAAGGCGGGUCUCUGGGCCGAUACUGACGCUGAGGAGCGAAAGCGUGGGGAGCGAACAGGAUUAGAUACCCUGGUAGUCCACGCUGUAAACGUUGGGCGCUAGGUGUGGGG
rnacentral:rRNA from 2 species